GACGUAGGGUCCCAGCGUUGUCCGGAUUUACUGGGCGUAAAGAGCGCGUAGGCGGUCUGUUAAGUGUAGAGUGAAAUCUCCAGGGCUCAACCCGGAAACUGCUCUGCAUACUGGCAGACUUGAGGGAUGCAGAGGUUUGUGGAAUUCCUGGUGUAACGGUGAAAUGUGUUGAUAUCAGGAGGAACACCCAUGGCGAAGGCAGCAAACUGGGCAUCAUCUGACGCUGAGGCGCGAAAGCGUGGGUAGCAAACAGG
rnacentral:rRNA from 1 species